GCGCUUAUAGCUCAAUUGGAUAGAGUAGCGCACUACGAAUGCGAAGGUUGGGGGUUCGAGUCCCUUUAAGCGCACCA
rnacentral:tRNA from 1 species